AAAGAGGCACCGGUUGUAUCGGAAGUUUUGGAGGUUGCUCCAGGACGUGGGUCUGUGGGGAGAUGAGGAGUACCUGAGGAGGAAGGAGAGGCGGACUGUCAGGCAUGACAAAAGGGACAUAAUGCCCAAAUGUGUGAUUGUAGAAAUAAGAAGGCGAUACCCUAGUGUCGAUGGGACCUACAGGGACUAUUUGUCGACAUUCGAUGCAGAGAAUAUGGAACUUUAGAAUGUUGUGUUUUGUAAUUAAUUAUAAUACCUAUUCUCUGUCGUCGCUAUCUGAAUCUGACUCCAUAUCAUCA